AACGAACGCUGGCGGCAUGCCUAACACAUGCAAGUCGAACGAGACCUUCGGGUCUAGUGGCGCACGGGUGCGUAACGCGUGGGAACCUGCCCUUAGGUUCGGAAUAACUCCCCGAAAGGGGUGCUAAUACCGGAUAAUGUCUUCGGACCAAAGAUUUAUCGCCUUUGGAUGGGCCCGCGUUGGAUUAGCUAGUUGGUAGGGUAAAAGCCUACCAAGGCGACGAUCCAUAGCUGGUCUGAGAGGAUGAUCAGCCACACUGGGACUGAGACACGGCCCAGACUCCUACGGGAGGCAGCAGUGGGGAAUAUUGGACAAUGGGCGAAAGCCUGAUCCAGCAAUGCCGCGUGAGUGAUGAAGGCCUGAGGGUUGUAAAGCUCUUUUACCCGGGAUGAUAAUGACAGGACCGGGAGAAUAAGCUCCGGCUAACUCCG
rnacentral:rRNA from 1 species